rnacentral:rRNA from 1 species
GACGAACGCUGGCGGCGUGCUUAACACAUGCAAGUCGAACGGUAAGGCCCUUCGGGGUACACGAGUGGCGAACGGGUGAGUAACACGUGGGUGAUCUGCCCUGCACUUCGGGAUAAGCCUGGGAAACUGGGUCUAAUACCGGAUAGGACCACUGCCUGCAUGGGUGGUGGUGGAAAGCUUUUGCGGUGUGGGAUGGACCCGCGGCCUAGCAGCUUGUUGGUGGGGUGAUGGCCUACCAAGGCGACGACGGGUAGCCGGCCUGAGAGGGUGACCGGCCACACUGGGACUGAGAUACGGCCCAGACUCCUACGGGAGGCAGCAGUGGGGAAUAUUGCACAAUGGGCGCAAGCCUGAUGCAGCGACGCCGCGUGAGGGAUGACGGCCUUCGGGUCGUAAGCCUCUUUCAGCACCGACGAAGCGCAAGUGACGGUAGGUGCAGAAGAAGGACCGGCCAACUACGUGCCAGCCGCCGCCGUAA